rnacentral:rRNA from 1 species
GACAGAGGAUGCAAGCGUUAUCCGGAAUGAUUGGGCGUAAAGCGUCUGUAGGUGGCUUUUAAGUCCGCCGUCAAAUCCCAGGGCUCAACCCUGGACAGGCGGUGGAAACUACCAAGCUGGAGUACGGUAGGGGCAGAGGGAAUUUCCGGUGGAGCGGUGAAAUGCGUAGAGAUCGGAAAGAACACCAACGGCGAAGAGCACUCGUGCUGGCCGACACUGACACUGAGAGACGAAAGCUAGGGAGCGAAUGGG